CUGGUCUCAAAUCCAGGUAGGACUACCCGCUGAACUUAAGCAUAUCAAUAAGCGGAGGAAAAGAAACUAACAAGGAUUCCUUUAGUAACGGCGAGUGAACCGGGAAAAGCUCAAAUUUGUAAUCUGGCUGUCUUCGAUAGUCCGAGUUGUAAUCUAUAGACGUGUUUUCCGUGCUGGAUCGUAUCUAAGUCCCUUGGAACAGGGUAUCAAAGAGGGUGACAAUCCCGUGCUUGAUACGACGACCAGUGCUCUGUGAUACACGUUCUACGAGUCGAGUUGUUUGGGAAUGCAGCUCAAAAUGGGUGGUAAAUUCCAUCUAAAGCUAAAUAUUGGCGAGAGACCGAUAGCGAACAAGUACCGUGAGGGAAAGAUGAAAAGCACUUUGGAAAGAGAGUUAAACAGUACGUGAAAUUGUUGAAAGGGAAACGAUUGAAGUCAGUCGUGUUCUUCAGAUUCAGCUGGUUCUUCCAGUCUACUUCUGUUGAACGGGUCAACAUCAGUUUUGUCCGGUGGAUAAAGGUAGUAGGAAUGUGACUCCCCCGGGAGUGUUAUAGCCUAUUAUUGCAUACACUGGGUGAGACUGAGGACUGCAGCUCGCCUUUUGGCCGGUCUUCGGACACGUUCGAGCUUAGGAUGUUGACAUAAUGGCUUUAAACGACCCGUCUUGAAA
rnacentral:rRNA from 1 species